UUGUACAACUUUAGCAUGGCAUUAAAUAAUAAAAAAAUAUAAAACAUUCUCAUGUGCUAUACAAAUAGUUGAAGGUUAAUUGGCAGUAUAACUAAGUAGUAAUGCUGCCAGUCUUCUUCAGACAAAC